rnacentral:tRNA from 1 species
GAUAGAAUGGCUGAAAAAAAGUAAUAAAUUGUAAAUUUAUAAAUGGUUAAGGUCUAACCUUCUAUCA